rnacentral:tRNA from 1 species
UAUGGGUGCUGGUGUGCCCUGCGGUCUUCAAAACCGUUUUGAGGCGUUAAAAGCGUCUUAGGUGGGUUCGAUUCCCACAUAGUCC